GCCGGGAUAGCUCAGUUGGGAGAGCAGCAGACUGAAGCGAUUACGUGACUUCUGAAGGUCCCGUGUUCAAUCCACGGUCCUGGCA